GAUGAACGCUGACAGAAUGCUUAACACAUGCAAGUCAUUGGCGAAUCUUCGCUUGCGCAGUCUAGCCAAGGCGGACGGUUGAGUAACUCGUAAGGAACUUGCCCUGCAGACAGGGAUAACAGUCGGAAACGACUGAUACCACCUGGUAUUAUCAGGCUGACGCAUGCCGGUCUGAUGACAGGAGAAGCUUCAGGAGAGCCUUGCGUUCUAUUAGCUAGUUGGUGGGGUAACGGCCCACCAAGGCGAUGAUAGGUAGCCGGCCUGAGAGGGUGAACGGGCACAAGGGGAGAGAGAGACGGCCCUUACACCUACGGGAGGCAGAAGUGGGGAAUAUAGGACAAUGGGGGCAACCCUGAGACAGAAAUUCUGUGUGCACGAAGAAGGUUUUCGGAUUGUAAAGUGCUUUCAGAAGGGAAGAAGAAAGUGACGGUACCUGCAGAAGAAGCGACGGCUAAAUACGUG
rnacentral:rRNA from 1 species